rnacentral:lncRNA from 1 species
CUAUCCCAUAGAAACCAUGAAAUAAUGCGUUUAUGGUUUUAAAAUCACUAAUUUUGGGGUUAAUUGCUUGCACCGCAACAGAUAAUGAAUAAGUUCAAUUUGGAAGUGAAAGGACCUGGGUUCCAGUCUCACCUCCACCAAUAGUUUACGACGAACCCUUAGGCUAGUACUUUUCCCUCUCUGAGAAGCUGACAGCUCCUCUCCUGUGAAAUGAGGAAUGUGACAGAUAGCUCUAAAUAUCUCUUCCAGCUCUCAAACUUUAUAAGCCUCUUGACACAACAUCCUAAAUCUUUUCCUAUGUCCCCUCCUACUCUUUUUCUCCCCUUUCAUGUGCCCUUUCCUUCCAGGCCCCCUGGCCUCUACUUGGGCUCUGUCAUCCCUGCUCUUUCCAAUCCUGCAGUGGAAAAGAGAAAAUCUUCCUGGGGAAAGAGGUCCAGCUCCAUGGCCCAGCCCAGGACUUUAGUGGAACUUCAGAAGCUAAAGACAAAAGGAAGGGAUGCCGCUGCAGUCUGUGAAUUUCUCCGUGACACAGACAUUCACAGGCUGCUGCUAACUGCACACCUCAGCUCUCAGCCCUCAGUCUCCUCUUCAACUUUUAGGAGACUCAUGUCAUAUGUUCUUCCAUGUUCCCCCAAAGGAAGCUCCAAGAGGCUCUCAAAGCCUGUCACCUGACUUCGGACAACACCUGGGCCCCAAAUCAGCCCAGCACAGUAAGUUCAGCAAAUGGCAUCUCCGGAGACCGGGGUCUUUGGCAUAGAAUGCUGACCUGGUGCUUUCUCCAGAAUAUCCGGUCUGGUUCCAGGGGAAGCAAUUCACAGGCCUGAGGAGGAGGCAAAUGGACCAUCUGGAGGGUGGGGACUGGUUUGGGAGCAAGCGCUCUGGAGUUCAACUCUCUGUAAUGCCGCCGGAUUGCCUGGGUGACAAGGAGCAGGUUCCCAGCAUUAAGCCUCAGUUUAUAUUUCUACAAAAUAGAGAGAAAUCCCUGAAAGAUUUCUACCUCUCCUAACACAUCUGCACCCACAUUCUACAAACCUGUCCUCAUAGACUUCUCUUCAACACCCCCAAUCCUUCCUUAGAGGGCCCCCAACCUCUAAGAGACAGUACGAGGGGAGAGUGCCGGUUUCCUUAAAGACAGAACACAUGGCAAAGGAAAACCACUAGUGAAAUUUAAAUACAGAAUCUCUCCCUCUAUUGCCUUCUGGUUCUGUUCUCUUGAGAACACUCAUCCGUGCAGCCCAAUGUAAUAAUGAGCAGGUCCUGGCAGCUGUGAUAAUAGUCCUUGUGUUCUCCAGAAGGGGAAAAUGAGGUAGAGAAAAAGAAUUAACUUUUUUAACGCAUUUUAAUUAUUUUUUUACUACACCUGCAUCUGUGAAAGGAAUCUAAAAGGCUGGGUGAUUCAUUCAAGUUCAGAAGAGUGCGUGCCAGAGAGGCAGUGCACCUACCUGCUGACUCUUUCGACUGCGUGUAAAAAAGAAAAAACACCUGACUCAAAUAGCUUAAACUUUAAAAGGGGCUUAUUAGCUCACCUAAUUUUAAAAGAUGAAAGGUAUGCUGGCUUCAAUAGUUUCACUUGGAAUUUUUUCUCUUCCUUUAUCUCUGUUCUAACUUCAACUUCAUCUUAACACUGGUUCCCCUACUGUUCUUCAGAUAGCUGCCAGCAGCCCCCAAGGCUAUGAGCUUCCUCGUUCACAUGGAGAAGGAAUGUAGGAGCUUCUUUGCUCCAGCAUUCACAACAAAAGUCAUGAAGUUCACUGGGACGUGACUAGCUUAAACCACCCAGAGGUCAUCAUUAUUGGAGACUGGAUAUGCUAUCUGACUGAGCUCCCCACUGAGCCAACAGCAAAAGAAGCUUCCCUGAACCACUUGAAUUCCCAAAUAAAACUGGAGGCCUCUGGGGAAAAGGAAGGCAAAAUGGAUACUGGGAACAUAACCAAUAAGAAUCUGCUAUAGAUACAAAGAGGUUCUUCAAGUUCAGAACCUCAGGGUUUUAAAGUGAAUAAUAGCCAUACUACCCACCCUUCCUGGACCUCUGGAUGAUGACAGAAAGUCACACCCCACCCAGACAAGUGUGCCCAUGCACACACAUAGACACUUAUCCUCUUUGGAACCCAAUUCCUCAUCUGGAACAUGAAAUGUUAGAAUAGAUCAUCUCUAACUGAUGGUCCACUUCCAAGAUCCCACGACUGUAUAUGAAGUGGAUGUGUCCCCGGGCUCCCAGAAUCCACAUACAGACCUAUGCUGGUUAGUUCUUACUACAGACCCAACUCUGCUCUUCUUGGGCCCAGGGGUGCUCC